rnacentral:lncRNA from 1 species
ACGUAAUUUGAGUAUGUGUAGCCUAAUAUUCUCAGUUAUAUGAAUCCAAUCAGUGCAGACAAGCGUGCUAUUUUGCAACAGACAUCAAUAUUGUGUUUUUGUUAAACGUAUGCGGUUUGUAUCAGAUAUUCUGCUCAUCUAUCAUCAUGUCAGAGUCCUAAUAAAUAUGAAAAAGCUGGAAUAUUUCGGUAACUUCAGUCCUAUAGAGUUCCAUAUUGCUCGGUUUGGGCUUUCAUAGUGAUCGAUGACCAUUUUGCUGGUGCAGGAAUCGGAUAAAGUGAGGAAGAGGAGGAUGAAGAGGAUCGCAGAACGAUCAUCUGCUUCUUUGGACACAUUGGUUGAUUAUCCCUGAUUCUCAGAGGUAUGUCGGGGUGAGCUGGUCAAGUGGACUGUUAUCUCGCAUGGCCCUGUACAAACCCGUAUGACCGUCUGCCUGCACUCUGACCCGGGGGAGCAUGAGGAUAAACAGAUGCGUGAGCCUUCAUCACUCUCCCUCCACCACCACCAUCAUCAUCAUCAUCAUUUACCUUGAAGGGGGUGAGGAGGAGGUGCGCCAGAACACAUCAGACGCUCCUCUGCGGGUGGAAAGGGAGAGAAGAGGUGACUUGCCGAUUUUCUCAGAUCAGCAGCGCUGAUGACUUCUCUCAGGGGGAGCUGACCCAAUUCGCCUGGGUGUUUAUCACCGGCACAACAAGGUCACGGCUGACAAAGCAGCGCUAGUGUGGUCUCUUUAUGCUGUGGGGUGGGAUGGGAAGGCCCAGGGCGGUUGAGGAGCUGUUUAACUGCUCUCUGCGUUCAACUGUUAUUACACAGAUUUUAGAAAAGAACAAGAUGAUUUUUUAAAUAAAAAAAUCUGUUUAAAUCUG